rnacentral:rRNA from 1 species
CCUACGGGUGGCAGCAGUGGGGGAUAUUGCACAAUGGGGGAAACCCUGAUGCAGCGACGCCGCGUGGGCGAAGAAGUAUUUCGGUAUGUAAAGCCCUAUCAGCAGGGAAGAAGAAAUGACGGUACCUGAGUAAGAAGCACCGGCUAAAUACGUGCCAGCAGCCGCGGUAAUACGUAUGGUGCAAGCGUUAUCCGGAUUUACUGGGUGUAAAGGGAGCGCAGGCGGCACGGCAAGCCUGAUGUGAAAGCCCGCGGCCCAACCGCGGGACUGCAUUGGGAACUACCGGGCUGGAGUGCCGGAGAGGUAGGCGGAAUUCCUAGUGUAGCGGUGAAAUCCGUAGAUAUCUGGAGGAACAUCAGUGGCGAAGGCGACUAUCUGGCACAUAACUGACGCUGAGGAGCGAAAGCGUGGGUAGCAAACAGGAUUAGAUACCCCAGUAGUC